CCUUGGUUCCUCGCCAAUAUUAGCACAGGACGAUUUACAGUCGGGAUACUGAAGCAGCUCGGCCUCUUGGUGUGUCGUAAAAAUCGUCGGUCGUUGCACACACCAACCAGCCGUCCCGCCGCCACACACUCACUCACAGGGGCCAGAGUUCAGGGCAAGGCAGGAGAGCGGCUUGGCUUGGCUUGGCGCGCUCAACCUCCGGAGGCCACAACCAAGCCCCAGACUAAGAGCCCUGCCUCUGGACAUGUGCAAAGUGGUGGCCAGCCUGGAUAGGGAAGAGGACUUCUGCUUCCGGAUCAAACGGCCUUGCCCAGCUUCCCAGAAAAACCCAAAGCCUCCCCUGUUAGGAGAGGCGGAUGCAAUUCCCUGGGCCGGUGCUUUUGUCGAAGCAGGGUCCCUCAAAAGGCAUGAGAACCCCACAAGGGACCAGGGCGACAGAGAGGGCACCAGGGGACGGAGGGACUUGUGGUAUCCCACCACCACACGUGUCUUCGAGGCCAUGUUAGUCGCCCUUGAAAAUAUAUUGGUGGCUCGGGCCUAGGUAUUCUCAGCCGAAUUGGGAUGUUUGUGAUGGGGUUGCUAGGAUAGCCUGGGUCAGAGGAGGAAAGCGCAGAAAAGCGAAGCCCACCAAGCGGGGGAGGAGAGUGAGGACGGCGGAUGCAGUGGGACUGGGAAGGCCGCGGGCAAAUGCGAUGCCCAUUUCCCCUUGACGCAGUGCUGCAGCUCCCAGGUUCAUUGGCCCUUAAUGGCAAUCAUGCCCAUGAAUACGCUUUCCACAAUUUCCCCAUCGGCGGGUGUCAUUAGCCCAGCCAAGCAAGUGAACAUCACCCCCAUUAAGGGGGGUGCGGCAGAGGGGGUGGGGGGGGAAUGUUUCCCCAGGAGAGGCGGCACAAAGUCGGGGAACAGCCGAAUCCGGCCUGUAUCUCUCUCUCUCUCUCUCUCUCAACAGCUGCCUUUCCAAAGCAGAGCCGAAGGUAGUUUGGUGAUUGUGUCUUUGGCCCAAAGCACGUCUCUGGAGCCUGAAUCGGACCGAGAGUCUUGGGGGAACGUCCCGGCGGGCAAGCAGGCAAGGAGUGGUGAAACUCCAGCGAGAGAAAGAUCAGAGAAAUUUUUCUAAACCUUCCUGCCCAGCUGAGACUUCUUAAAUUGUAGGCCCUAGCAACUUCCCAGCCAACGGAGAGCUCUCGGUGGAAAAGGUGUGGUGGCCAGGCAAGAAAACAGAACCCGCAGAAGGCAUUUGUUUUAGGGCCGUCCGGGCCAGAGAUUCAAAUCCUUGAUUUGGGAGUCUGGCAUGGCAGACAGCAGUGGUACGAGAAAUUCUGCCCCAACACUCAGCCCGCACAGAGCAAGCCAUAAAGUCAGAUCCCCCAGCUCAGCAUGAUCAUUAAAAGAUCUCCACCAGCUUGUAUCUACCAUGUAUGUCUUCUUUGGGGUGGAGUGGGAGAGGAUCUGAGCCCUGUUAACAUAUAAGUAUUGUUUCUUUUGAUUAGCCAUUGUCAUGGGCCUCGCUUUCAAAUAAAUGUCUCUUUUUAA